AUGCUUAACACAUGCAAGUCGAACGAGAUCUUCGGAUCUAGUGGCGCACGGGUGCGUAACGCGUGGGGAUCUACCAUGGGGUGCGGAAUAACUCAGAGAAAUUUGAGCUAAUACCGCAUAAUGUCUUCGGACCAAAGAUUUAUCGCCCUUUGAUGAACCCGCGUAGGAUUAGCUUGUUGGUGAGGUAAGAGCUCACCAAGGCGACGAUCUUUAGCUGGUCUGAGAGGAUGAUCAGCCACACUGGGACUGAGACACGGCCCAAACUCCUACGGGAGGCAGCAGUGGGGAAUAUUGGACAAUGGGCGAAAGCCUGAUCCAGCAAUGCCGCGUGAGUGAUGAAGGCCUUAGGGUUGUAAAGCUCUUUUACCAGGGAUGAUAAUGACAGUACCUGGAGAAUAAGCUCCGGCUAACUCCGUGCCAGCAGCCGCGGUAAUACGGAGGGAGCUAGCGUUGUUCGGAAUUACUGGGCGUAAAGCGCGCGUAGGCGGUUACUCAAGUCAGAGGUGAAAGCCCGGAGCUCAACUCCGGAACUGCCUUUGAAACUAGGUGACUAGAAUCUUGGAGAGGCGAGUGGAAUUCCGAGUGUAGAGGUGAAAUUCGUAGAUAUUCGGAAGAACACCAGUGGCGAAGGCGACUCGCUGGACAAGUAUUGACGCUGAGGUGCGAAAGCGUGGGGAGCAAACGGGAUUAGAUACCCUGGU
rnacentral:rRNA from 1 species